GUGGGGAUGACGUCAAAUCAUCAUGCCCCUUAUGACCUGGGCUACACACGUGCUACAAUGGACGAUACAAACGGUUGCCAACUCGCGAGAGGGAGCUAAUCCGAUAAAGUCGUUCUCAGUUCGGAUUGUAGGCUGCAACUCGCCUACAUGAAGCCGGAAUCGCUAGUAAUCGCGGCUCAGCAUGCCGCGGUGAAUACGUUCCCGGGCCUUGUACACACCGCCCGUCACACCACGAGAGUUUGUAACACCCGAAGUCGGUGGGGUAACCUUUAUGGAGCCAGCCGCCGAAGGUGGGAUAGAUGAUUGGGGUGAAGUCGUAACAAGGUAGCCGUAUCGGAAGGUGCGGCUGGAUCACCUCCUUUCUAAGGA
rnacentral:rRNA from 1 species